AUGCAUUCACUAAAUCUGUAGAAAGCGAGUUCUGGAAGUGAGUUAUGAGUAAAUAAAAUCACAAAUCGUGCGUAAAAAGCGUACUCACAGCCGACCGGUUAUCAAACUCGUUUUCGACGUGUUUCUUUACCGAUGGAUCAUAGGCCGCCUCGCCGCCAUUUUCGUUCCGGCCGGAUCCGUGUGUGCAGGGGGAGUCGCGUGCUGCUAAUAAGGGUCCCAGCACCUCUGUCGAUGCGGAGGUCACGGCCGCCACCGCCGACCCCGGCGAGGGCACCAGCGCGAGCGGGCCGCCGGCGAUGGACAUUGAGGAGAGCUGGCUCGUUAUCGACAAUGCAGUCGACCACCUGCUGCACCACGCUGGCGAGCACGGAGCUGCUCUACGUGGAGAAUGAGGCGGUUGUCGAGUUCAAAGAGCUAACCUCGGCGGUCGACUUAAGUGACCAGCUGCCGGGACAGAGACUGACCGGCAGAGUUCUGUUGGUGCCUCAUACUUUUCUCUGUUUGUUUCUGUUUUCUGUUCCGCAAGUUUUUGUCAUUAUAACUAGUUGCAGUUUAAGUAGCUUGUUGCAGUUCGUUUAUAUUUUGUUGCAGGGUGUCCCGCCCUUAACCGUAAAGAGACGUGAAACGUUGGACGCUAAUGAAUGAGAUACGAGAUAGGAUACGAAAUAAUAUAAUCGCACACAAAGCUGUGAAAUAGAAAGCUGCUUGUAUACAGGGGCGUAGGCAGGGGGGGGCCACUGGGCCAUGGCCCCCCCCUUGGGCGCCGAAUGCGCCCUUUGCGAUUGGAGGGCGCCGAAGGCGCCCUCCAAUCGCAAAUGCAAUUGUGAUAUAAUCGUUUGUUAGUGAUCGAAUCGAAAAACAAUCGCGACUGGAGGGCGCCCUCCAAUCGCGAAUGUGUUUACAGGGAAAAUAUGGAUGGAGGGCGCCCUCGGAGGACGCCCAUUCCAAAUACGCCCUCCAAAUACGGUUGGAGGGCUCCCUCGGGCGCCCUCCAACCACAUUUGUAGGCUGUAGCUCUCUAAGCGUAACGGUGGUCGCCUAUGUAAGCCGCUGUCCUGUAAAUAAGCGCCCUCUCACCCGAAGGCGCCCUCCUGUAGGUCGCCACCCUGCUACACAUUGCCGCCCUUCUGCUGAUCGGCGUCCUCAUAAUUAUUGGCGCUCUCCUACCUAUUGCGCCCUCAUGUGAAAUUUUGAAGGCCGCCUUUCUCCCUUUUGGCACCCUCUUGUUCAGUGCCGCCCUCCUACCUAUUGGUUCCCUAGUCCUUCCUGUUGAAUGUUAAUCGGGGUCCUUCUCCUAUUGGCGCCCUCGUGUAGAUCGCCGCCCUCCUAACCACUGGCACCCUCCUGUUGAUCACCGCCCUCCUAUCCACUGGCACCUUCCUGUUGACCAGCGCCCUCCGCACAGACGCCCUCCUGUUCGUGUCAUCCUCUUGAGCAAAGGCGCCCUCCUCACCAUUGCCACCCCCAUUUUAAUCGUCACCCUUCCGCUCAUUGGCGACUUCCAGUUGAUGACCGCCAUCCCACCUAUUGGCGACCUCUUGUUGAUCGCCACCCUCCUAUUGGUGCUCUCCUGUUCCUCGCCACCCUCUUACCUGGUGGCGCCCUCCUGUUGAUUGUUGAUCGGCGCCCUCCUACCUAUUGGUGCCCUCCUGUUGAUCGCUGCCCUUCUAUCCAUUGGCGCCCUCCUGCUACUCGCCAACAUCCUACCUAUCGGUGCCCUACUGUCGAAACUCGGGAUGUUGAUCGGGACUCUUCUACCUAUUAGUGCCCUCCUGUGGAUCGCAGCCCUUCUACCUAUUGGCAACAUCCGUUGAUCGCUGCCCUCCUAUCAUUUAUUUACUCCUUUGGCAUGUUUUUCAACUUAGUCGUUCUAUUGCACAUAGUUGAUGUCUUGCCUGUGAAAACUGCCACAAAUGAACGUGCAUUCAGCACAAUGAAUGAAGUAUCUAUGCCUACCAAAACUAUCUACGCUCUACGAUGCAUAAAACACGUCUUUGGUCUUAACGGAUUGAUCCUACUUUACGUGCAUCAUGGCAUCUAUAUGGAUUACGAUUAAGUAUUGUCAACAGGUUCGGGCGCAACAGCAGGCAUCUGAAGUUUCGGUGAUUGAAACUGGUUAUGUGGGUACACUGUAUGCAUCUGUGAGAAGGCUAUGAAGGCUGGUCUGAGGUAAUUUGGAUGAUGUUUACGCAUCUCGCGCUCCGGUAUCAAUCCGAUACGGUGAUCUGGUGCGUAGAUAUGCCACCGCCAAUAAACUUUUAUACAUCGACACCCAUGAGCCAAGCUUUCUGUACAGUUUGUGUGGUAGCGGCCCGACCAAACCUUAGGUAUUUUUUACACCUUCAAAUUUGGUAAAAGAGCGAGAGGAGCUUUGAACAGUGAUCGUAUAAAAGGCGUGCCUAAAAAGCGGAGGAAAAGGUUGUUUUCAAAAAUUUCGCGCGCCUUCGGCGCAGCAUUUCAAGAACACUUGACCUUUUGUGACCUGGAGUAUAAAGAAUACACACGAUGCAAAAUCAAUGCAGCACGACCUAUACGAGGUUACGCAAAAAAAAAACUGGUGGCAUGGUAAAAAACGCCUCCCAACCCCCCAACUCCCACUGAGCGAUUUUUUAUCUCGCGACCGUAUGGCGCCCUCCUUGGGUGAGGUGGCGCCCUCCAAACCCUUGGCCCCCCCCUUCGCGAUUUUCUAAAUACGCCGCUGCUUGUAUAAUAGGUCCGUCUGCUCCUUAUGAUGGGUUCCUAUAGCAGGUCUGGUCUUGCAACCAGCUGUGAUCAUUGAGCGUUACGCCCGUAAUAGGUUGUCCAGUGCUUGUUCUUAUGUGCAUGAAAUACAGGUUAACUUUGCUGUUC